rnacentral:lncRNA from 1 species
AUGCGUGAUGCUUCACACCCGGAAGCGCCGGCGUGCACAGUCUACAGUAAGUACGGCAGAGAGGCCGCCUUUUUACGCGCGUGUUUUCCUGCUUCCCUCGCGGUCGUGUUAUACGACGACGACGACGAUGAUGAUGAUGAUGAGGAGGAGGAUGAUGAUGGUGGCGUUGAGGAUGAUGUGACCGAGGGCGCGCGCACACUCGCCACUCCACACCACCUCCUCCACCUCCUCCAUCAGCAGCAGCAGCAGCGGCAGCGGCAGCUCUGUGUGUUCUUCCCCGUCCGCGGCUCUCACUCUCGCCCUCUCUUCCUUCCUUUCUUUCUUUCUUCCUCUCUCACACACUCACUCACUCUCUCUCUCUCUCUCUCUCUCUCUAAAUGCCAUCGGCGCUUCCAUCUCUAUGUCACUCUUUCUUCUUCUUCUUCUUCUUCACGUCGGCGGAGAAAAAAAGCCUCCAUCCGUCGGUGCAGCGUCCGCCACGAACAGGUAGGGCUCUCCUGGAGAGGGGAGAGAGGAGGAAAAUACGACGCUUUGCCAAGUCCUCUCUCUCAGUCUGCGCUCCCACGCGCUCGGCUGAGAAGCCUUCCAUAAUCAAAGAGGGGUGGAGGUGGAGGAGGUGGAGGAGGAGGUGGAUGUGGGGCGAAUAAACUGGAAAUUAGACGCACAAAUAAAAACAAAAACAAAAAAACACCACGAAUGGAGACAUCAGCUGGAGGUUAAACAAACACGCCUGAUCGAUUCCUGAUGAUCGAUAUAUAUAUAUAUAUAUAUAUAUUUUUUUUAAAGCGCAGCCAAUCAGAACCUCGAGCCCACCUGACACUCAGGGUGCCGCGCAUCGUACCUACAUGGUGCAAGGGCGUGCGCGCUCCCGCUGCCCGCCUGCCUACCCACCGCCGCGCGCCGCGAGAGGGUUCAUUUCCUGGCUGUUUACACCGCGCUGACGUCACAUCCAGUGGCAACACCGAGGCUUGCCCCCCCCCAAACACACAUACACACACACACACACACACACACACACACACUCCAUCUAUUACUGCCAAUAUGAAAGUAUAGGAGGAAGCGUCCCACAUGAAAUACUUCCUCCCCCCCCCCCCGGUGUGAGUGUGGACACACCGGGCUGACCUCCUCUCUGAUGCGGAGGGUGAUGCGUGAGGAGGUGCUGAAUUAAUAACUGAUCCAGAGAAGUCAAUAAUUAUUUGUGUUUUAUUCUGUAUUUAACGUCGGAGGCUCUGUGGAGAGCUCUGCCUCUCACGCGUGCGUAUCUGUGCGGUGCAGGGGGGGAGACGUUCGGAGCAACGCGCCUGUCACCGCGAGAGGACGCACUGUCACAAUUUUAAGAGCGAGAGGCACGUCCCGCAACCUGCGGCCGGCCCAGAGCAACAGGCAGCUCCUCUUUAUCCUCUUUAUUUCUUUUAUUUCUUCUUUGCGCGUAAAAACAAACUGCAGCGGAGAGUUUGGCACAGAAAAGCGCACACUUGAUAAAAAAAGAAGAAAAUCCGAAUGCGUUUUUUUUUUUAGCGCUUUUAUUUUGUUGUGUGUGUACAAAAGAGCCCGCGUUUAAAACGCCCGUUUAAUUAUCCUUACACUUUUAUAUUCAUGCACAUUUUCUUUUGUAAUUUAUAAACUGAAUCGGAGCUGUCGUAUUAACUUCCUCCACCUCUCCGGUGUGGAGUUUUAUUAUCAGAGGCCUCCUGCAAAAAAAAAAUACUUGAAUCAAAUCUCUCUUUUUUUGACAAGGUCAUUGAAAUACUACUACUAAUAAUGAAAAAAUCAUCUUGCAGCACUUCUUCUGCAUCUCUCCUGGCUCACGUUAUAUUCAAUUAGGGGGGCAGGCCCCUCCCCCUUAACCGAUGACACUGACAGACCCUCCUUAAGUUGCGUCGCGCCACAGCUGUCUGCAAGCAUUGAGCUGCCUGGCGCCAUCCUGAAAGAAUGCCUUCACUGUAAAAAAAAAAAAAAAAAAAAAAAAAAAGAGAGAGAGAAGAAAAAAAAAGGGAGCUAGAGAGAGAGAGAGAGGGGGGAGAGAGAGAGAGAGAGAGAGAGAGAGAGAGACAGAGUGAGGUAGAGCAAGGGUGAGUGAGUAAGAGCCACACAGACGAGGGAGAGAGAGAGAGAGAGAGAGAGAGAGAGAGAGAGGGGAGCGGAGUUAAUGGAGAGGGCUACAACUGCGCACAAACACAGAUUUGAUCAGUGAGUUUGACUUGCUGGUGCCGGUCAGUGCGCGCAGUGAAGACCAUCCGCUGCAAAACGAGCCUUCUCUUCCCCGAGCGAGCCUCCUCCUCCUCCUGCUGCUGCUGCUGCUGCUGCUGCCAGACUUGUUGAGCCGGGGCUCGAACACUCACAUUUCUCAGAGAGAGGGGAAGAAGAAACAGAAGAAGAAGAAGAAGAAGAAGAAGAAGAAGAAGAAGUUGUUCAGGAACUCAGCGUGGGACCGGAUUCCAUUUUGGACGUAUUUAUAUGUCAACAGCUUUUGUUGCAUUUGUGAUGUGGGGUAUGUUUCGUGUUUAAAUAUCUCAGUUGUUUUUCCUCCUUUCCCAGACAGCCGCUCCUGCUUGUUUUUUUAAAAUUUAAUUUAAUUUUUUUCAAUUCUGUAUAAUAAUCGUGCUGCAUGCGAGCAAAUGUGAGAAACUAAGACGAUACGUUCUC